UGGCUCUCGCAUCGAUGAAGAACGCAGCGAAAUGCGAUAAGUAAUGUGAAUUGCAGAAUUCAGUGAAUCAUCGAAUCUUUGAACGCACCUUGCGCUCUUUGGUAUUCCGAAGAGCAUGCCUGUUUGAGUGUCUUGAAAUUAUCAACCUCCAAGGUUUUUUUUUUAAAGCUUUGGAUGCGUUGGACUUGGGAGUCUUGUCGGCCGUUCAAGUCGACUCUCCUUAAAUGCAUUAGUGGCUUUCUAUGUCCUUGACCCAAGUAGCGGUGUAAUAAUUAUUAUCACUCGCGAACGCGCUUGGAUUUGCCGCUUCUAACCGUCUUCGGACACUUCAUGAUCUCUUUGACCUCAAAUCAGGUAGGACUACCCGCUGA
rnacentral:misc_RNA from 1 species